GUAGUUUUUAAUUUCCAAGCUUGCGCCUUUAAUGCCGUAACACUAGGUCCCUGAGAAGGGUGGUCGCAAAUAGGACGAGAAAGAGUUCUCGCGACUUCGUAUCCAGAUUUGACGGUGUAAUUACCAGACUUUGUCAUGGUCCAACAAUAACCGUCACUCGAGACAUUAAGACUCGGUUUGAUCCCUAGUAUGAGGGUAAUUUCUUCCGAGAGAAACAGAUCCCGAAGACGGUCCAUCUUCCACUGUUUAGUCCUAAAGUCUAUCAAAGAAUUGACACACACAAGUGGGUCUCUCUCCACUGCAAGUCCCUUAGGAGGGCGAGCCGGUGAAUCUGGUAUCCAAGGAUCGGUCCAAAUGUAUGUGCCAAAACCAGACCCAAUAGUCUUGCGAAUUCCAAGUUUAAGAACAUCUUUGGCGGCUAGCAUACUCCUCCAACCAUAAGACGGACGAUUAGAGACAGUGAUCUCUAAAGGACUACAAUACCGAAAGUAUCGUCCUUUAAGGACCCGACUAAAGAGAGAAUCUACGAAUCUUAAUAAUCUCCAUAAUUGCUUCGCCAAUAAUGCGAGAUUGAACUCUUCCAACGUCCUGAAUCCAAGACCUCCGUCUGAUAGUUGAGAACAAAUUUGGUCCCAUGCAAUCCAAUGUAUUCCCCGACUCUCUACUUUAUUACUCCACCAAAAAUUGGCAAUCGCACUGUUAAGCUUAUAAUA
rnacentral:sRNA from 1 species